GAUUCACCGUUAACAUGUACAAACUGAGACACACUCCUUCUCAUACUGUACAUACUGUAAACAUACUGAGCCAAAGUGUGUAUCACAUACAGUACACAUAAGGUGCACUCAAGUCUGUCUAAUGAGCAGUCACUUUUAUUUUCCAGCAAACUGAGACGCUGAUAGGAGGUUAGUAGUAGUAGACUCCUCUAUUGAUGCCUCAAGGCUUUGGCAGAAGGGAUUGGUAUGCAUGUAUGUGUUGAGUCGGUAAUCACUGAUCUCCUGUUGAAAAAAUUCAACAUCCAGUUUACCAUGCAGGAUUUGAGUGAAAAGUUUCUGUUAGUGUUGCUUGAUGUCCAUGUUUAUGAAAGCGUGAGCAUGUGUCUGCAUAUGUGUAUGAGGUUUCACACAUUCAGGGAUGUGGGUUCAUUUUCUAGACAUAAAUAAUAGAAAUGUACAUUGUGCUUCAAAUUUCAAAAUAACUAACACUUUUUAACUAGACCAACUCUCCUGUGGCUGAUACAACGCCACAGGAAGUAAAGAGGGCUUUUCAUAUGACACACACUCCCAUAAUGCUUUGAGCUGUUGGAACACAGUUGUUUGAAAAUUUCCUCAGUCCAACUCCUUUACUCUAAAUUGGAACAAAGAGCCAAUUGAAAAGAUGGUAAUAAUGUCUGGCUAAAAAUAUCACUAUAACUGAGCUCAGAGGGGCAAUUUUUAUUCUGUCUUCAGUCUCUGUAUCCAUUUCUCUCCAUGCUUGGACUGUAAUUGUUUUUUAUUUUCAAGUUUACACCCAUCUACACAAGCAUCCCUGCCAAAUGAAUCUCACACAAUGUGAGAAAUGGAAGCCUCCCAAAACCAUCAACACCCCUACUAAGCAGAUGGAUGUUGCAUGCUGCCUGACUGCCUUCAGCUGCCAUUAACUUCACACCAUGUCAUUUUUUUUGUCCGCUCCCCUCUGAGACCCGCAAAGUUUUCAACAUGGAGGGUGUCAAUUUUGAUAAAAGCCACAGUGUAACUACAGAGAGCUGAAGGUGUUGUUGGGUCGUCUAGACAUUUUCUAAAUUCUGUCUGGUACCUUUUUUGAUCAGACACAUCUGACUUGCAACAAUUAGUAGUGUUAUACUGUAGUUACAAGUUGCCUGUAAAAUUUCUGGAUGUCCAUCAACUGUGAUGAUGUACAUUAUCUCUGCUUUUUGGCACAUUUCACAAAGUGACACCUCUACUUUUGUUGCAAAUUCUCUCUCAAGAAAUAAGAAACAGUUUCAUAAUAAAAUAAUAAUAAAUAAAUAAUAAAAAAUAAGAUACAGUAAGUGCGUUGUUCAGGUGCACUUUUUCUUUCCAGCUUCACUUAGCUUUUGAUUUUGCAAUUUUGUGUUCUAAACUUUCUGUGUAUACCUCUGGAGUUGUGUGUGCCUGUGUCUCAGUCUUCUUCACAAAGAGAAGAUUUGAUUGAAGAUUAAUGAUGGAAGUGGCUUUGGCUAUGGCUUGCCCUUCAUAGGACUGCAGCUGUACUGAACACCUCCCGUGUGUGUGUGAGUGUGUGUGUGUGUGUGUGUGGAUGUGUGGUAUUUAAACUUUGUUGCCUGUAAAAAGGUGAGUCAUCACCUUCAGAGUCUUCAACUUCAGACUCAAUACCAUGACCUUGUCCUUCUUUGUGCUGCUUUGUAAUUGUGACACUUAUUCCCUUAGACAAAUUCUUUAAUUUAUCUUCUUAUCAGCUCUACUGAGAAAAGUUUUUUAGGAAGAAAUCUCGUCAGAUGAUGUGUAAGAUGCAAAACACUUGACCAUCUAUGGUUGUCAUUUCCUUUUUAAUCUCUAUAUAUUGUGUAUCUUUUUAUCUCUCCAUCUUUCUUUAAAUCUUCAAUCCAAACUUUUAUCUUUGGUGCCCACAGUGUUGUCUAAUAUUAAGGAUUUCUGUGUUUGGAAACAAAUGUACCCUCUUGUCUUGACAUUUUGGGUUUAAAUUUGAUUUAUAUCUUGUAGCAAGUCAUCUCCUCUUGCCCUCUUAUCUGCUAAAGCAUACAGUGUCAUAUAAAGUAGAACUGACACUACAGAAGUAGUAGUAGUACAGAAGUUUUGUCUGCAUGUAGCCUGUACUGCAUCAGCCAACUUUGGUGGCCACUUCAAAUGGCCACUAAAAUACAUGUUUUCAAUAGUUUUAAGCCAAGCAGUGAAACGAGAAAAUUCAACACACUCAAACUGAGCUAAACCCAGUGUGUUAAAUGCAGUCCAGGUGAAUCCCUUCAGUUUCAGGGAUAAAUGUCAAACUCCAGCAAAGAUGAUGUGCAGAAUUCUCUGAUGACGCUGAUUUCUGAUGGACCGGGGAUUCCAUUCUGACAUCAGGAAGAAACAGCUUGUUGUGGGUGAAGUGAGAAAAACAUAUCGUCUUCAUAACACAGGCGGUCAGCUCUGUAAACUGCCCCCCCAGUUGCACCAAGUUUUCUCCCUCCAGUGCUGUCCUCAAAUACAACUCUACCCUAUCUGCACUUAAAUGUGUCUUGACAUCUGCACUUUUAACAGUCCUUGUGGCAGUGUUUUUUAGUUUCACACAGAUGGGUAAAAAUAACCCGCAAGAUACUCCAGAAGGGGACACACAGCUGAGAGGGGUACUUGACUGAACUGUAGGGGUGUGUGGGUGUGUUUGCACGUGUGUGUUUGCAAGUAGUGUUUGUGUCUGCUCACACUUGUAAACAUGUGUUAAUGUAUGCAUGUCUGGAUACAGAUUUGUUAGUGAUACUUGAGAUAAAGCUAGAUAUUUGUGGGAUAUCUUGCCCUUAAUAAAGUAAACGAUAACCCUUUUCUGUAUUUAAUCUAUCCACUUUUUAAACUUGAUAUUUAUGUGUAAAUGUAGCAACUGUCCACAGUGGGCUAUUGUAGGUGAUCCUUUGAUCAGAAAUCAGCAAAGCACAGGGCCUGAAGCAAUAGAAGGUUUUGGCAACACAAAGUCAGAAACCCAAGUUGACACUUGAACAAAACUAAACCAUAAAAACCAUGCAACUACUCAAUGAUCAAAGACAGGCGGGGACAGAAAUAAAAAUGGUCACGGUUUCUAGCAGUGUGAAAUAAAAUGUUUUAGUUGAUGCAUACAGUAUAAAACUUAUUUCGCUUUGUUCCAGUCACAUUUUUCAUCUUGAUAACUGUGAUAAACACAAUGUAUGUUGUAUGUCCUUUCUAACCUCCUCAGUCUUUUGCAUGUAUUAUAGUUAAGACUGUAUCUGUUCAACUAAAAAUAUGCAACAAUGUUCCUCAUACAAUGGUUCGUAUGAUAUGUUACCAAAAGUAAUGCACUAAAAUUCGUGCAUAAUGCUACAUACCCAGCAACACAAGUGACCAGUGCACUUGCGCAAGAUCCUGCAGUGCAAAACCGAGUAUGGCCGUCAGCUGGUGGUAUUUAAAGCUCCAAUUCCCAGUUGUGUCCCUGUCAGUUCCAGGGCUGUGGGUCUGCAAGAUCUGAGAUGGACUCAAGGCAAUUUGUACUGUGUCUGCCGCAUCCAUUUUGAUGACAAGAAGAAGAACUCUACAAAGAAGUGGCUUUCAUGAUGCCAAUCAUGAUCACUGCAUGUGGUUUAAAAGCAACAUGUGCCUUCACUGCCAGUGUCACAACACCCUGAAACAUGCCUCAAUGUUAGGAAACAUGUAGCAUUUACUGCAUUGCAGGAUUUAUAUUUUGUGGUGAUUUUACUGUCAACAUUAAGAAGAAAACGUUCAGUUCACCCUAAUUAAGAAGUCUGUCUGAUUUACCAUGAAUUGGGAGUUAUUCAAGUUUAUGUAACCAUGGAGCAGUGUUAAAUUUCUUUUUCAGAAAUAAGACAGGCCACUUGAUUAAGAUAGACUGAGAUAUCACCACAUGGGGCAUCUGUUUUUGCCUACAGAGAGAUUAAGCGUUGUCACAACUACAAUCUUUUGCAAAGGUUUGACUGAGUUUGCUAAGCAAUGACUGAGACAUAAUUGGCAUGUUAAAUUUUGAUUUGCUUGAAGAUAAGGAGUUAAGUUAUCACAAUUUCCUAUUCAGUAGGAAAGGCACGCUCUGCUUAUCUUACGAUAUGAUCUAUGAUAUAACAUAGGCAGUAUGAGGCUCAUGAUUCCAAAACAAACAUGAUGCAAUGUAAUAAAUAAAACUUCAAUGAAAACA